UCGCUGAGGUAAAGCGGAAGCUGCCGCUUU
rnacentral:sRNA from 1 species